UUUAAGUUACAACUACAGGAUAUUUAGGAGGAACACAGGAAAAGAGUACUUAAUAGGUUUACAUCUAUAUAGGUAAGGCUUAUAAUAAUUAACAAAAGGAGAGUUUAUAGAAGGGAUCAAUUAACCAGUUCAUAGGAAGUGAUGUAAUCCCAGGGGAGAAUAUAAACCCAGACCAAGCUCUAAUGGCUCAUUCACAGUGAGGACAGCACAGAGGACACAAGCUCCAGGAUUGCAGCUAAUAAAAGAUAGGAGCUGUGUAUAACAGUUCUGGAAAUUAGCCAAUAGGAAGCUGAAAUUAUUCUACAUUGGUCCCUACGGAUUUAAAAGUGGGAUAAACUAUAUAGGAAUGUCUCCCUCUAUUUUCACAUAAGACAUCGCUCUUACAUAUAAAAAAUAAGCGCUAACACUCUAAUUCGUCCCCCUGUUGCCUGGGUUAUUUGAGAGUUCUUAGUCAACUACCAUAUCUGCCUGCUUCCCUAUAGUCCUGAUCCAGAAUAAGCCUUCAGGAGAAACUAGAACGGACUCCUCACAAUUAUAGAACCUGACGAUGGCAAGAACUAAACUAUUACAACUGGGAAAACCACAAUGGGAAAUCUGGUCAGAGUGGCAGCGGUCAGGAUGCCAGUGUCCGAAAUACUGGUGACAGAAUCCUGACACACAGCAAAAUCCUGGGCGCAAGAACUCCGUCAUCAAUUGGAAUAGCGACACCGGAAUCCCGACCGUCAGCAUCCCAAGCGUCCGGGCACAGUACCAGUAAUACAGCUUCCUUCUUUCAAGCUGCUCUAAAUAAUUGUACCAGGGAGGAGAAACACAUCUCUUCUACAACUCUACCUGACAGUAAGUGGGUCCUAAGGAUAACUGUCACAAGUAACGGCGUAACUAAUCCCUAAACCACCCUGCAAUUCUAAAGUUGUUGUGGCCAGAACUGGAUUGAAAUUUAUUAGAAACAGUGUUACCAAGUUCCAGUUUACAGACUAACAGCAUGCUGAUUAACCAUAUGGGUUACUACUAAGCUGAACAACACUCUGUGCAUGGAUAACUGUUUUCAUUACAGACUCAGUUGCAGUGAUUAGGAACUAUUUUAAGAUGUAUAGAAUCCAGUUACAGGUUUAUUGUUUUUAAUACACCGACAUGUGUUGAUUAUUGUUAUCAUAAUUUUGUAUAUUAAUAAAUGAAUAAUUUCUGACAA